rnacentral:rRNA from 1 species
UGGGGAAUAUUGGACAAUGGGCGCAAGCCUGAUCCAGCAAUGCCGCGUGGAUGAAGAAGGUUUUCGGAUUGUAAAGUCCUUUCGGCGGGGACGAUGAUGACGGUACCCGCAGAAGAAGCCCCGGCUAACUUCGUGCCAGCAGCCGCGGUAAUACGAAGGGGGCUAGCGUUGCUCGGAAUGACUGGGCGUAAAGGGCGCGUAGGCGGCUUAGUCGGUCAGGCGUGAAAUUCCUGGGCUUAACCUGGGGGCUGCGCUUGAUACAGCUAGGCUGGAGUGUGGAAGAGGGUCGUGGAAUUCCCAGUGUAGAGGUGAAAUUCGUAGAUAUUGGGAAGAACACCGGUGGCGAAGGCGGCGACCUGGUCCAUUACUGACGCUGAGGCGCGAAAGCGUGGGGAGCAAACAGGAUUAGAUACCCCCGUAGUCC